UUCCAAUCGAACCCGGAGAUAGCUGGUUCUCCCCGAAAUAGCUUUAGGGCUAGCCUCAGGCAAGUCCCAUGGAGGUAGAGCACUGAAUUCCCGCGGGGGCGUCAAAGCUUACCAAAGGAUAUCAAACUCCGAAUGCCAUAGGGAUGGUGCCUGGGAGUCAGGCUGCACGAGAUAAGUUGGGCAGCCAAGAGGGAAAGAGCCCAGACCGCCGGCUAAGGCCCCCAAGUGCGUGUUAAGUGGGAAAGGAUGUGGGGAUUCGAAGACAGCUAGGAUGUUGGCUCAGAAGCAGCCAUGCAUUCAAAGAGUGCGUAACAGCUCACUAGUCGAGAGUCCCUGCGCCGAAAAUGUCCGGGGCUCAAACACGCCGCCGAAGCCGCGGGAUGCAUGCAUAAGCAUGGAUCGGUAGGGGAGCAUUCUUACAACCGGAGAAGCCGCCUUGGAAGGGGCGGUGGAGGGAUAAGAAGGGAGAAUGCCGGAAUGAGUAGCGAGAGGGGGGUGGGAAUCCCCCCGGCCGAAUAUCCAAGGAUUCCAGGGUAAAGCUGAUCUGCCCUGGGGGAGUCGGGGCCUAAGGCGAGGCGGAGACGCGUAGCCGAUGGACAACAGGUUUAGAUUCCUGUACCGUGUAUGGACAGAACUGCGGGGACGCGGAGAGGAACUGCGAGCCGGGAAUGGAAAGACCGGCACAAGCGCUUAAGGGGGCAUGUUGGAAAAGCCGCAUGCAGAAACCAAGGGCGUGACGUGGAGCGAAAUAAAAGUAGCGAAGCGCAGGGAGGAGCCGCCGAGAAAAGCCGCUAUGGCUCCAUAUGCGCCCGUACCGUAAACCGACACAGGUGGAUGAGGAGAGAAUCCUAAGGCCGACGGAAGAAGCAUUGCCAAGGAACUCGGCAAAAUGGCCCCGUAACUUCGGGAGAAGGGGCGCCCGUCGAAAGACGGGCCGCAGGGAAAAGGCCCAAGCAACUGUUUAGCAAAAACACAGGCCUAUGCGAAACCGGAAGGUGAAGUAUAUGGGCUGACGCCUGCCCGGUGCUGGAAGGUUAACGGGAGCGGUCAGGGAGACCGAAGCCGCGAACUUAAGCCCCAGUAAACGGCGGCCGUAACUAUAACGGUCCUAAGGUAGCGAAAUUCCUUGUCGGGUAAGUUCCGACCCGCACGAAAGGCGUAAUGAUUUGGGCGCUGUCUCGGCAAUGCAUCCGGUGAAAUUGAAGUGCCAGUGAAGAUGCUGGCUACCCGCGCCAGGACGGAAAGACCCCAUGGAGCUUUACUCCAGCUUGGCACUGGGGCCCGGUGCUGCACGUACAGGAUAGGUGGGAGGCGAAGAAAGGAGAGCGCAAGCCCUCCGGGAGCCGUCGUUGGGAUACCACCCCUGCAGUACUGGGUCUCUAACCCGCCGCCGUAAGCCGGCGGGGGGACAAUGCCAGGCGGGGAGUUUGACUGGGGCGGUCGCCUCCGAAAGGGUAUCGGAGGCGCCCAAAGGUUCCCUCAGAAUGGACGGAAACCAUUUGAAGAGUGCAAAGGCAGAAGGGAGCCUGACUGCGACGCCGACGGGCGGAGCAGGUACGAAAGUAGGGCUUAGUGAUCCGGUGGCAGAACGUGGGAUUGCCAUCGCUCAACGGAUAAAAGCUACCCUGGGGAUAACAGGCUUAUC
rnacentral:rRNA from 1 species